UACGUAGGAGGCAAGCGUUGUCCGGAAUUACUGGGUGUAAAGCGCGUGUAGGCGGCAGGCCAAGUCUGUGGUGAAAUCGCUCGGCUCAACUGGGCGGGGUCCAUGGAAACUGGUCAGCUGGAGGACGGUAGAGGUGAGUGGAAUUCCCGGUGUAGUGGUGAAAUGCGUAGAGAUCGGGAGGAACACCCGUGGCGAAGGCGGCUCACUGGGCCGGUCCUGACGCUGAGACGCGAAAGCGUGGGUAGCAAACAGG
rnacentral:rRNA from 1 species